rnacentral:lncRNA from 1 species
AAAAGAAGAGGAGAGGAAGUGUGACGGGAUGAGGUGUGGUGAACGAUGGUUGAGGGUUUGGUCAUGAUGGAGGAAAGGAGCAAAGAUUAAAAGAAAGGGUGGUGGUUAUUUUGAAAAAUGGAGAGAAAAUGGAUGAUAACAGAAAUGAAAAAGAGAAAAAUAGGAGUAAGUGGGAGGUAAGGAUGGCAAAAUGAGGUUAGGAGGGUGGGAAUAGGUUGGUCAACUAGUUUUAGGAUCAAUGAACCUCUUGUAUGGCAGGGAUAAGAAGUUUUGGCAAGGGAGGGAGACAUGAGGUAAAAAUGGGGAUCAUGCACCCUCAACUUAAGGUAAGAUUGACUGAUAUUGGAGGAAAGGAAUCCUCCUAUUUAUGGUGAAAAAGGGGUGGACGACAAGCACUUAAAU